AAAAAAAUUCAUAGUAUAGUAAGGUGUCAAAAAGUGUCAAAAUUGUCAUAGUAUAGUAUGGCAUCAAAAAGUGUCAAAAAAUGUCAUAGUAUAGUGAGGUGUCAAAAAGUGUCAAAAAAUGUCAUAGUAUAGUAUGGCAUCAAAAAGUGUCAAAAAAUGUCAUAGUAUAGUAAGGUGUCAAAAAAAUUCAUAGUAUAGUAAGGUGUCAAAAAUUGUCAAAAAAUGUCUUAGUAUAGUAAGGUGUCAAAAAGUGUCAAAAUUGUCAUAGUAUAGUAAGGUGUCAAAAAUGGUCAAAAAAUGUCAUAGUAUAGUAAGGUGUCAAAAAAUGUCAUAAAAUGUCAUAGUAUAGUAAGGUGUCAAAAAUGGUCAAAAAAUGUCAUAGUAUAGUAAGGUGUCAAAAAUGGUCAAAAAAU